rnacentral:rRNA from 1 species
UACGUAGGGGGCAAGCGUUGUUCGGAUUCAUUGGGCGUAAAGGGUGCGUAGGCGGCGCGGUAAGUCUGAUGUGAAAUCUCUGGGCUCAACCCAGAAACUGCAUUGGAUACUAUCUAGCUAGAGGAGUGGAGGGGGACUGGAAUACUUGGUGUAGCAGUGAAAUGCGUAGAGAUCAUGAGGAAGACCAGUGGACGAAGGCGGGUCUCUGGACAGUUCCUGACAGCUGAG